rnacentral:lncRNA from 1 species
AUGGUCCCAAAGAAAGGCAUUGGCAGUGGAGAUGGAAAGGAGGAAACAGAAAUGUUAAAGCUAUUGCAGACACUGAGAUGGAAGGUGCAGCAAACACAUGAUGAUUCAGGGUUUCGAGGCUGGGUGACUGGGAGAAAGCUGCUGAUGCCAUUAACAGAAACCGGGGAAAGAAGCUGGACCUUGAAGGAAAGAAAAAAUGAUGAUUGCAGUUUUUACAGAUUGAGUUUGAAAUGACAAAUCAUUUAGAUGGAGAUCCACAGUAGAGAAUCAGUUUUGGAGGAACUCAGCUCCAUUUAACAAACAAACAACAGCAUCUAAACAUUUAUUCUUAGGACAUCCUUUUUGAUUAAACAUUUUGAGCACAUUCUCAUUUUACAUAUAAAAGUGUGUAUAUAUAUACGUGUGUGUGUGUUUAUAAAUUUCAUACAAGUUUGUACAUUAUAAAAUAUACACAUAGAAAAUAAUAAAUAGAAAUAGAGAUUCUAAUAUUUUCNNNNNNNUCCAUGGAUGCUUUUGAGCACCUUCUGGUAGGCUGGUACCCUAUCUCAGAGACCACUGAAAUAUUUUAGAUAGUUCCUUCUCCAGUGUUGAGAAGGAACCUAAAUGCUUUUGCCCUGAACAAAAUGACCUUCUAUUGCUUUUUUUCCUAGGAAUGAAAAUUUCCUCCUUUCAGAUCUUUUAACAUUGUGCGCAGAAGGAAAGGGACUAAAGAUUUCACUGUGCUGUAAGCUGUCACAUGUGUGCAUUAAAGUCUACAUAUAAGGAUGUUCAAUGUAACAUUGUUAAUAAAGGCAAAAAUAACCUAAAAGUCCAUAAGAAAAGAGAAGAUAAUGCAAAUCAUGAUACAUGUUAUUUUAUGAAAUGAAGAGUUCAGAUAAAUCUACAAGUACUGAGAAGGGAGGGGAUCUCGAAAACAUAUCGUUAAGGUAAAAUAUGUUUCUAUAGAGACAAUAUGUUAUAAUGAAUACCCAUGAUGUAUGAAGUACUUUCAAUAUACUUUUAAGUGUAUAUGAAGGGGCUUCCCUGAUGGCUCAAUGGUAAAGAAUCCACCUGCUAAGCGGGAGACGUGGGUCUCAAGCAGGAGAUGCGGGUCAGGAAGGGUCAGGGUCAGGAUCAGAGUUAGGAAAAUCUCCUGUAGAAGGAAAUGGCAACUCACUCCAGUAUUCUUGCCUGGGAAAUCUCAUGG